rnacentral:rRNA from 1 species
UGGGGAAUUUUGGACAAUGGGCGAAAGCCUGAUCCAGCAAUGCCGCGUGUGUGAAGAAGGCCUUCGGGUUGUAAAGCACUUUUGUCCGGAAAGAAAUCCUUGGCUCUAAUACAGUCGGGGGAUGACGGUACCGGAAGAAUAAGCACCGGCUAACUACGUGCCAGCAGCCGCGGUAAUACGUAGGGUGCAAGCGUUAAUCGGAAUUACUGGGCGUAAAGCGUGCGCAGGCGGUUUGCUAAGACCGAUGUGAAAAUCCCCGGGCUCAACCUGGGAACUGCAUUGGUGACUGGCAGGCUAGAGUAUGGCAGAGGGGGGCAGAAUUCCACGUGUAGCAGUGAAAAUGCGUAGAGAUGUGGAGAAUACCGAUGGCGAAGGCAGCCCCCUGGGCCAAUACUGACGCUCAUGCACGAAAAGCGUGGGGAGCAAAAGCAGGAUUAGACUACCCUGGUAGUCCACGCCC